AAUAUUGCACAAUGGAGGAAACUCUGAUGCAGCGACGCCGCGUGAACGAUGAAGGCCANAGGGACNUNAAGUUCUGUCCUAGGAGNCAAUAAUGACGGUACCCUAGGAGGAAGCCCCGGCUAACUACGUGCCAGCAGCCGCGGUAAUACGUAGGGGGCAAGCGUUGUCCGGAUUUAUUGGGCGUAAAGGGUGCGUAGGCGGCCUUUUAAGUCAGAUGUGAAAGGUCACGGCUCAACCGUGGUAAGCAUUUGAAACUGAAAGGCUUGAGUUAAGGAGAGGAAAGUGGAAUUCCUAGUGUAGCGGUGAAAUGCGUAGAUAUUAGGAGUAAUACCAGUGGCGAAGGCGACUUUCUGGACUUAUACUGACGCUGAGGCACGAAAGCGUGGGGAGCGAACAGG
rnacentral:rRNA from 1 species